AUUGAACGCUGGCGGCAGGCCUAACACAUGCAAGUCGAGCGGCGCGGCGGUCGGGUGCGUAAUGCCUAGGAAUCUGCCUGGUCGUGGGGGAUAACGUCCGGAAACGGGCGCUAAUACUGCAUACUAUCAGAUUAGCCUAGGUCGGAUUAGCUAGUUGGUGGGGUAAAGGCCUACAAGGGCGACGAACCGUAACUGGUCUGAGAGGAGGAUCAGUCACACUGGAACGAAGACACGGUCAAGACUCCAACGGGAGGCAGCAGUGGGGAAUAUUGGACAAUGGGCGAAAGCCUGCUCCGGCCAUGCCGCGUGUGUGAGGAAGGUCUUCGGAUUGUAAAGCACGUUAAGUUGGGAGGCGUUACCAACAGAGUAAGCACCGGCUAACUUCGUGCCAGCAGCCGCGGUAAUUC
rnacentral:rRNA from 1 species